AACAGCAUGUCCCACAAAGAGGAUGUCCUUCACUGGGCCCCAGGAUGAUGGCACAAAGCUGAAGGUAACUGCCACUGACAGCAUGACGAGAGAGACACCUGACCGUCAGCCACGUAUUUAGAGCACAUGGAAGGUGUGUCUGCUUGGAAGGAGCUCGAGUACUCAUUUGUGAUGGAAAAUUACAGGAGCCUGCCAGAAAAGAAUUACUGCAGAGUAUUGCCCUUCACAGGGGAGCUGAAAGUACCGGCUGUAGACUUUGCUUCGUCCCGGAAGGACGUCCAGAAGGACAUCAGGUCUAAUUAGCAUAUUAUGCUUUUAUUAUUAUAGAUGUGAGAAUGUAUGGAAUAAAAACAAGACACUACUAAAAAUUAAAAUCUA